rnacentral:rRNA from 1 species
GACGAACGCUGGCGGCGUGCUUAACACAUGCAAGUCGAACGGAAAGGCCCUGCUUUUGUGGGGUGCUCGAGUGGCGAACGGGUGAGUAACACGUGAGUAACCUGUCCUUGACCUUGGGAUAACUUCAGGAAACUGGGGCUAAUACCGGAUAGGAGCUCCUGCUGCAUGGUGGGGGCUGGAAAGUUUCGGUGGUUGGGGAUGGACUCGCGGCUUAUCAGCUUGUUGGUUGGGUAGUGGCUUACCAAGGCUUUGACGGGUAGCCGGCCUGAGAGGGUGACCGGACACAUUGGGACUGAAAUACGACCCAGACUCCUACGGGAGGCAGCAGUGGGGAAUAUUGCACAAUGGGCGGAAGCCUGAUGCAGCAACGCAGCGUGCGGGAUGACGGCCUGCGGGUUGUGAACCGCUUUCGCCUGUGACGAGGCGUGAGUGACGGUAAUGGGUAAAGAAGCACCGGCUAACUACGUG